ACCUGAGUGGCUCAGUUGGUUAAGCAUCCGACUUCAGCUCAGAUCAUCAUCUCACAGCUUGUGGGUUCAAGUCCUGCAUCAGGCU
rfam:Felis catus isolate Cinnamon breed Abyssinian chromosome D2, whole genome shotgun sequence.